AAGAUAACACAUCGAUUCACAAAACCAAGUCCCAAAAAGGUAGACCAUCCUUCUGUAUAUUUGCACGGCAACACAAUAGUCAGACAUAUGGAAAACUUAGCUGCAUGUCAAAAUCAUACGAUUAGAAUCCAUUAAUCUUUAGAAAUAUAUACUUGUUUUAUCUAAUUCAAUCAUCAAAAGCAUAUAGGUCCAGGAAUAGGAGUUAAUCUGAAGCAUGUGUCUUGUUCUUAACUUCUCUUUGGCUGCUCUCUUCUCCUUCUGGUUGAUCUGUUGAGAUCCUUUUCCAGAAGCAUAUUCAGUAGAAGGAAAAAUAAUACUUUGAAGGAGAACCGUAUUUUGAUAUUACAAAAAAGCACAAAUUCAGUACAGGUAAGAUUUAGUAGCUCCCGAUGUUUCGAGUCAUUUAUGCAACUCAGAAAUACCACAAAAUAUAACCAGGACUGAAUAAUUGCACAAGGAAAAGAGUAGCAAGUGUCCAGUAAAUGCAACUUGGCACACGAUCUAGCUUACGAACUAAUGAAUAGAUUGAAAGGAAGUAUUGCUACAUGCAUAUAUAAUGAACAUACAGUGAAGUACUGUCACAAUGCACAGGUCAGUGAAUUUGAACAUUGUUCUUUAUGUAACUGUAAAAACUAAGAAUAAAGACCGGAACCAUUUGUAAUGAGUAAGAAGCCAAUCCUUGAAUUUUGGAAAAUGUACAGUAAAAUAAUUAAUCAAAGUUCAAUGCAAAAUAGAAAGAUGUCCAUUAAGAGACAUACUCCUUUUCCAGGUUCCUUAUGAUCACAUUUAGCACACCAUCGAUGUUAAUAAGCUCAUACGCAGCCUUGAUCAAGCACCUGGAUUAUAAGAGAACAUACAUUGGACACUUUAGUAAAAUGAUGCUUCAUGAACAGCUACAUGCAUAUGUACCAGUCUGAAAGUGAUACCUCCAGAUUGCAAAAGUUUGUGACCUCUUGAGUUACAAAUUUACAAGCACAAGGAUGAAGAAAAUAUAAAGGGAAAGAAGAGAAGAAUGCACCAAGCUGCGUCUGCGUGACUACUGUAGCAAUUAGCAGUGUAAUCAUGCAUCAGCAAGUCUUCUGAAAAUCUCUCCGAUUAUAGUAGGUGGUUAAGGCCCGGUUUAAUGAAAUGUCUCCAAAGUGGCAAAGCUAGGAGAUAGUACAUUUGUAGCGAGAAAAUAAUUACAGAAACAAUCUUUAGAAAUGCAUGCUUCAGUUCAGAGUAGUUGUUUCAAGAAACCAAACAACCCAUUAAAAAAUGCCAACUACAAAUUGAGUAGCGGGCUUCAGAAUUCUCGGAAGUCAAAAUUGAUUCAUGCAAUCUGUACACACUUGAAACCUACACCCCGUAGUCCGUGAACAGUUGAGGAAACUUGGUAUGUGCAAUCUGUACACACUUGAAGCAGUCAAGCAGCAAACAGAAAACUGAAUAUGAAGCUCUUUGCAAUGGUUUACGAAAAGGAAAAUCACAUGAGUAUGAGGUACACUGCACUGGAAACUGAACAUGAAGCAGGCCCAUCCAUGGUGUUUCAUGGAACCAGAUUUCCUUCGCUGCUCCUCGUCUUGCAUGUUCUUGCAAAAAAUAUAGAGUAUG
rnacentral:lncRNA from 1 species